rnacentral:rRNA from 1 species
UGGCGGACGGGUGAGUAAUGUCUGGGAAACUGCCCGAUGGAGGGGGAUAACUACUGGAAACGGUAGCUAAUACCGCAUAACGUCGCAAGACCAAAGAGGGGGACCUUCGGGCCUCUUGCCAUCGGAUGUGCCCAGAUGGGAUUAGCUAGUAGGUGGGGUAAAGGCUCACCUAGGCGACGAUCCCUAGCUGGUCUGAGAGGAUGACUAGCCACACUGGAACUGAGACACGGUCCAG